rnacentral:rRNA from 1 species
CGGAAGGGCAAGCGUUACUCGUAAGUAUUGGGCGUAAGGCGUCUGUAGGUGGUUCAUUUUGAACUAAUUUACCCGGUGACCUCUAUACACCUUAGCAGGUCACCCGGGUAGAGUAACUGGGUAGUCCAGAGGUGCAAGGUACCCUUGAUGGAGGGUGGAAUCCAAAAGAUCAAUGGGGACCCCAAGGCGAAGGCAUUGUCACCGGGACUUCUAACACUGAGAGACGAAAGCGUGGGGAGCAAACAGGAUU